rnacentral:rRNA from 1 species
CCUGGUUGAUCCUGCCAGUAGUCAUAUGCUUGUCUCAAAGAUUAAGCCAUGCAUGUCCAAGUACAAGCCUCACUAAGGUGAAACCGCGAAUGGCUCAUUAAAUCACACCUAAUCUACUGGAUAGUUAACAGGUACUUGGAUACCUGCGGUAAUUCUGGAGCUAAUACAUGCGAAAAGCCUCGAACUUACGUGAGAGGCGCUUUUAUUAGAUCAAAACCAAUCGGCUUCGGCUGUACUCUUGGUGACUCUGAAUAACUUUGGGCUGAUCGUAUAGCCUUGCGCUGACGACAUAUCCUUCGAAGGUGUGCCCUAUCAACUGUCGACUGUGGCAUAGACGCCCACAGUGGUUUUGACGGGUAACGGGGAAUCAGGGUUCGAUUCCGGAGAGGGAGCCUUAAAAACGGCUACCACAUCUAAGGAAGGCAGCAGGCACGCAAAUUACCCAAUGAUCGAAGAUCGAGGUAGUGACGAAAAAUAACGAUCCAGGACUCAUCCGAGGCCCUGGAAUCGGAAUGAGUACACUUUAAAACCGUCCCCGAGGAUCUAUUGGAGGGCAAGUCUGGUGCCAGCAGCCGCGGUAAUUCCAGCUCCAAUAGCGUAUAUUAAAGUUGUUGUGGUUAAAAAGCUCGUAGUUGGAUCUCGGCGGACUGAGGGCGGUUUGCUUGCUAGUAUUACUGCCCUAUAGUCCGUAGUUUUGCCAGAGGUUUCGAGGUGCUCUUAAUCGAGUGUCCCGGGAUGCUGGCAGGUUUACUUUGAAAAAUUAGAGUGCUCAAAGCAGGCUAUUACGCCUGAAUAUUCGUGCAUGGAAUAAUAGAAUAGGAAGUCGUUUCUAUUUUGUUGGUUUUCGGAAAUCGACUUAAUGAUUAAUAGGGACAGUCGGGGGCAUUUGUAUUCAAACGACAGAGGUGAAAUUCUUGGACCGUUUGAAGACAAACUACUGCGAAAGCAUUUGCCAAGAAUGUUUUCAUUAAUCAAGAACGAAAGUUAAAGGUUCGAAGGCGAUUAGAUACCGCCCUAGUUUUAACCAUAAACGAUGCCAGCUAGCGAUCUGCGGACGUUUUUUUUUGUAGACUCCGCAGGAAGCUUCCGGGAAACCAAAGCAUUUGGGUUCCAGGGGAAGUAUGGUUGCAAAGCUGAAACUUAAAGGAAUUGACGGAAGGGCACCACCAGGAGUGGAGCCUGUGGCUUAAUUUGACCCAACACGGGAAAUCUCACCAGGCCCGGACACUGGAAGGAUUGACAGAUUGAUAGCUCUUUCUUGAUUCGGUGGGUGGUGGUGCAUGGCCGUUCUUAGUUGGUGGAGUGAUUUGUCUGGUUAAUUCCGAUAACGAACGAGACUCUGUCCUGCUAAAUAGUGUCUGCUUCUCUUUUGAGCAGACAAUUCUUCUUAGAGGGACUGGCGACUCUUAGUCGCACGAGAUUGAGCAAUAACAGGUCUGUGAUGCCCUUAGAUGUUCU